ACAUUGGUGGUUCAGUGGUAGAAUUCUUGUCUGCCAUGCAGGAGACCUGGGUUUGACUCUGGGACAAUGCA
rnacentral:tRNA from 1 species